rnacentral:rRNA from 1 species
UGGCGAACGGGUGAGUAACACGUGGGGCAACCUGCCCAAAAGAGGGGGAUAACACUUGGAAACAGGUGCUAAUACCGCAUAACCAUAGUUACCGCAUGGUAACUAUGUAAAAGGUGGCUAUACUACCGCUUUUGGAUGGGCCCGUGGCGCAUUAGCUAGUUGGUAGGGUAAAGGCUUACCAAGGCAAUGAUGCGUAGCCGAAUUGAGAGGUUGAUCGGCCACAUUGGGACUGAGACACGGCCCAAACUCCUACGGAAGGCAGCAG